ACAUUCAGAUAACUUGUGACUAGAGACCAACGUUUUUCUGGGUCACUCAAGUCAUGUGGACAAGAAAAAUGCCAGGCCCCAUUUGAGAUGGAAAUAUAAUCCUGUGCCUAUCUCUUAUGAUGGACAUUUCUAUACAGGGGCGAUACAUUCUAUACCGGGCCGUCUAACUGUAAAGAAUAAAGACUUAAAGCAUUCACAUAACACAAACCAGAAAAUGUAACCGUGUUGUAUGUUUUUCUCUUAUAGUUUCAAGUUUCACACCGUCAUACCGUACUUUCUGCUUCUGUGUGGCAGCAUCCAGAAGUUCAACUCAAUCAUUGGCCUGCUCAUGUUCAAAGCCAAGUACAUGGAACAGCAGUUUGGCCAAUCAGCAGCCAGAGCCAACUUCCUCAUUUGUUAGAAAAUGUAGCUACAUGUUUCUCAAUCACCUACCAUCUUUAUAAACCAACUAUGGCCUCUCCGUCGCGUUUCCUUCUGGUCCUUUCUCAUUGUGAAGUCAAACUCUAUUGGUUGGAUUGGGCCUGAGGUUUAGGUCAGAGACAAGGGCUGUGCUUAGACAGGCAGCCCACUUAUGAUAUUUUAUCCAUUAAUUGGCCUUUUGACAUAUCACAUCAGAUAUUUUCGCAUUAGCUUCUUUUCAGAGCAUAUCAGAUUGGUCAAAAGACCAAAUACCAGGGAUGCAAACUAGUCACCUUUCGGUGAAUCAAAAAUAGGUAACAUGCAUGAUUCGAGUAGAGCUGAUGAGAAACGUUUGGGAGGGAGGUCUUUGGACCACUACUGGCUGUAAGCAAAUUACUGAUGCGCAUUUGGAGCAAUACUGGCUGUAUCCAAGGCUCAGUCAAUCAUUCACAUUACAACAGAAUGCAGCAUGUAACUGAAGAGAGAAGAGACAACUAACUUGCUAGUUACAGCAUCAGCGCUCGCUCUGGAAAGACAGCAGAGUGUGGAAAGGCCGUUUGCCAGUUACAGCAGCGCGUCCCCUGAACGAUAACGAAGAGGUAGCAGAGAAGCCUGACCACGGAGACUGGGGUGAGAAGGUGAUGAAGUGUACUUCAUGACCUGUAAUCGAAAAACAAUGGCAUUUGGAAAGUUUGAGAGUGUAACAGAGGCUGCUCCUGCUUGGCUGGGGAGUGGGACCCUGUGUGCUCAGACAAACUGCAUCACCUACAACUUCCCCUGCCUGGCAAUCUGCUCCAGCUUUACAGGAUACAGCAAGCACACGAGUGAUCUUCCUUUCCCUCAUCACAUGUCUCGGUGGCUCCUCCUACUUUUCAUCAUCGCAGUCAUUACACUUCGGGAGGGGGACAGCCCCCACACUCAUUGCUAAAGAUCGAACUUCAGACUCUCCCCAAAACAACUGAACCCCACAACAAACCGAAAGAGAUUUAAGGUGCACACCCCUAAAGAGGUAGCCAGAACAGGAUAUCUCCCUCCAAGCUCACAAAGACACAGGAGGAGGAACUAUCCAACACCCAGGGAGAGAGAACGAGUGACCUCAGUCAAACACAGACAGAAAGAAGAGGCGUUAGAUAGAGGGUACCCCAGAUGCCAUUCCUCCUGCUCAUGUGAGCAAGGAAAGAGAUGACAAGCCUUCUGAUCAGGCCAACAGGCAGGCCAAGGGAGAGGUCAUAGUGAUUCACACCCACAGAGAGAAAGACAACCCACACAACCUAUUGGCUGAGAUGAACCACACAGAGGUAGAGGCAGAGGGCCUUCAGGGCUAGCCAGUCAGCCAGCCCGCUCUGAUCCUCAAGUCAGUUGUAUUUAAAUUCAUGUUCAUUAAAGAUUUUUAUUCAAGAUUUGAAAAGUCCCAUUUACUUAAUGAUAUCUUUUCACUGUCUGCAACCCUCAAGAACCAGGGUGAGUCUGGGUCACCCUUUUACUGGGCAAACACAACUUGCAUAUCGUCAUAGACUAGGCCAAAAUGUUCAUCUUUUAACCUUGCUUGAAUAAAACAUGCAUUUUUUUAUAGUGCGCGAGAGUUGCGCUUUUUCCUUUUCUAUGAUGAUUAAAGGUUUUGGUUGCACCUCAACUCAACGUUGGUUGAGCUCCCUCCGUUUUUUGUUGUUGUCAAAUACUACUUUUUUUGUUUUGUUUACAUGUAGUAAGUAAAUUAUUAAAAGCAUUAAAAUUG